rnacentral:rRNA from 1 species
UACGGAGGAUCCGAGCGUUAUCCGGAUUUAUUGGGUUUAAAGGGUGCGUAGGCGGUUUGAUAAGUUAGAGGUGAAAUGUCGGGGCUCAACCCCGAAACUGCCUCUAAUACUGUUGGACUAAAGAAUAGUUGCGGUAGGCGGAAUGUAUGGUGUAGCGGUGAAAUGCUUAGAGAUCAUACAGAACACCGAUUGCGAAGGCAGCUUACCAAACUAUAUCUGACGUUGAGGCACGAAAGCGUGGGUAGCAAACAGG